rnacentral:rRNA from 1 species
AAUAGAUACCCGGGUAGUCCACGCCGUAAACGAUGUCUACUAGCCGUUGGGGGACUUGAUUCCUUAGUGGCGCAGCUAACGCGAUAAGUAGACCGCCUGGGGAGUACGGCCGCAAGGUUAAAACUCAAAUGAAUUGACGGGGGCCCGCACAAGCGGUGGAGCAUGUGGUUUAAUUCGAUGCAACGCGAAGAACCUUACCAGGUCUUGACAUCCUCGGAACUUUCUAGAGAUAGAUUGGUGCCUUCGGGAACCGAGUGACAGGUGCUGCAUGGCUGUCGUCAGCUCGUGUCGUGAGAUGUUGGGUUAAGUCCCGUAACGAGCGCAACCCUUGUCCUUUGUUGCCAUCAGGUUAUGCUGGGAACUCAAAGGAGACUGCCGGUGACAAACCGGAGGAAGGUGGGGACGACGUCAAGGUCAUCAUGGCCCUUACGACCUGGGCUACACACGUGCUACAAUGGCCGGUACAGAGGGCUGCUAACCCGCGAGGGGGCGCUAAUCCCAGAAAACCGGUCGUAGUCCGGAUUGGAGUCUGCAACUCGACUUCAUG